rnacentral:rRNA from 1 species
GGUGUAGCGGUGAAAUGCGCAGAUAUCAGGAGGAACACCGAUGGCGAAGGCAGGUCUCUGGGCAUUAACUGACGCUGAGGAGCGAAAGCAUGGGGAGCGAACAGGAUUAGAUACCCUGGUAGUCCAUGCCGUAAACGUUGGGCACUAGGUGUGGGGGACAUUCCACGUUUUCCGCGCCGUAGCUAACGCAUUAAGUGCCCCGCCUGGGGAGUACGGCCGCAAGGCUAAAACUCAAAGGAAUUGACGGGGGCCCGCACAAGCGGCGGAGCAUGCGGAUUAAUUCGAUGCAACGCGAAGAACCUUACCAAGGCUUGACAUGGACUGGAAAGGCGCAGAGAUGCGUCCCCCGCUUGCGGCCGGUUCACAGGUGGUGCAUGGUUGUCGUCAGCUCGUGUCGUGAGAUGUUGGGUUAAGUCCCGCAACGAGCGCAACCCUCGUUCCAUGUUGCCAGCGCGUAAUGGCGGGGACUCAUGGGAGACUGCCGGGGUCAACUCGGAGGAAGGUGGGGACGACGUCAAAUCAUCAUGCCCCUUAUGUCUUGGGCUUCACGCAUGCUACAAUGGCCGGUACAAAGGGUUGCGAUACUGUGAGGUGGAGCUAAUCCCAAAAAGCCGGUCUCAGUUCGGAUUGGGGUCUGCAACUCGACCCCAUGAAGUCGGAGUCGCUAGUAAUCGCAGAUCAGCAACGCUGCGGUGAAUACGUUCUCGGGCCUUGUACACACCGCCCGUCAAGUCACGAAAGUUGGUAACACCCGAAGCCGGGGGCCUAACCCCUUUGUGGGAGGGAGCCGUCGAAGGUGGGACUGGCGAUUGGGACUAAGUCGUAACAAGGUAGCCGUACCGGAAGGUGCGGCUGGAUCACCUCCUUU